AGGACACACUAAGGGUGGUGGUGACACGGAGAGGACACGCUAAGGGUGGUGGUGACAUGGGUAGGACACGCUAAGGCGGCGACACGUGGUGACAUGGGUAGGACACGCUAAGGGGGGUUAUAACAUGGGUAGGACACGCUAAGGGGGGUGGUGACAUGGGUAGGACACGCUAAGGGGGGUUAUAACAUGGGUAGGACACGCUAAGGGGGGUGGUGACAUGGGUAGGACACGCUAAGGGGGGGUUGUAACAUGGGUAGGACACGCUAAGGGUGACCUUAACAUGUAUAGGACAUGAGAAGGGUGGUGACAUGUGGUGACCAUAACAUGGGUAGGACACGCUAAGGGUGACCAUAACAUGGGUAGGACACGCUAAGGGUGGUGGUGACACGGGCAGGACACGCUAAGGGUGGCAACAAGAUGCGUAAGAACACGCUAAGGACGCUGACGUGCCCACGGCCACGCCAACACGCUAAGGACACGCUAAGGCUGGCAGGACGCUAAGGCUGGCGGCGUGCUAAGAGCUGCAACACGCUAAGGACACGCUAAGGACAACAUGCCGCGGAUUACAACACGCGUGGGAUUACAACACGCUAAGGAGAACGCGCUAGGGAUCACAACACGCUAAGGACACGCUAAGGACAGCAUGCCGCGGAUUACAGCACGCGUGGGAUUACAACACGCAAAGGAGAACGCGCUAAGGCUGUCGUGUGCGGGAUUACGACACGCUAAGGAGAGCACGCUGGGGAUCGCGACACGCUAAGGACACGCUAAGGAGUACGACACGUGUAGGAGAACACGCUAAGGACGACCACAUGGUAAGGGCAACGCGCUGUGGGACGGCAACACGCUAAGGACACGGACAGCACGCUAAGGGCCGCGCAACACGCUAAGGACACGGCCCCGCUGCCACUGCAUGCUGGGAGGACGGACACAUGUCGUUAGCGUGUCGGCCCGUGUCGAGUCGCCGCCGGGCCUGCCCCUGGCCCCUGUUAAUCCCGUGUUAAUCCCGUGCCGGUGGCCUGUUGCCCCGCGCAUGUUAAUCCCGUGUUGAUUCGCAUCUGCCUGCCUUAAUCCCGUGCUAAUCCCGUGUCGAUCGCAUGUCGGCCGCGUGUUGGUUGCAUGUCAAUCCCAUGUUCGUUCCCGUGUGCCUGCCCUAACCCCGUGUUAAUCCCGUGUUGGCCCUGGGGCUGUCGCGUGUCGUCGGCACGUUAACCCAUGUUAAUCCCCUGCCCUCCCCCGCCCCAUGUCGAUAGCAUGUUUGUAGCAUGUUCGUUACGUGUUGGGACCUCCCCUGGUGCCGUGUUGGUCCCGUGUCACGCGCGUGUCCGUCCCGUGUCCGGUCCGGCUCCAUCCCGUGUCAGUCCCGUCUUAAUCCCGUGCCAUUCCCUUGUUAAUCCCGUGUUAAUCCCAUGUUUUUCCAACCCUACCCUUGUUAAUCUGUGUAAAUCCCGUGUUGUUCCCAUGUAAAUCCCAUGUUUAAACAGUUUUGCCUGUGUUAAUCCGUGUUAAUCCCAUGUAGAGCGCACUUUGACCCCCGUUUCUGUCCCGUGUCAAUCACAUGUCAAUCCCCUGUUAAUCCAGAUUCAAUCCCGUGUCAAUCCCAUAUCAAUCCAGAUUCCGCACCCAGUCAAUCCCGUGUCAAUCCCUUGUUAAUCCCGUGUUAAUCCAGAUUCCACCCCUUGUCAAUCCCUUGUUAAUCCCAUGUUAAUCCAGAUUCUACCCUGGGUCAAUCCCCUGUUAAUCCAGAUUCAAUCCUGUGCCAAUCCCAUGUCAAUCCCAUGUUAAUCCAGAUUCAAUCUCGUGUCAAUCCCCUGUUAAUCCAGAUUCAAUCCCAUGUCAAUCCCGUGUCAAUUGCAUGUGAAUCCAGAUUCAAUCUUGUGUCAAUCUCAUGUUAAUCCAGAAUCUGUCCCAUUUCAAUCCUGUAUUAAUCCAGAUUCCACCCCGUGUCCAUCCCGUGUCAAUCCCAUUUUAAUCCAGAUUCCACCCUGUGUCAAUCCCGUGUCAAUCCAGAUUCAAUCCCGGUUCAAUCCCUUGUCAAUCCCAUAUUAAUCCAGAUUCAAUCCACAUGUCAAUCCCAUGUUAAUCCAGAUUCCACCCCGUGUCAAUCCUGAUUCUACCCCGUGUCGAUCCCAUGUUAAUCCAGAUUCCACCCCAUGCCAAUCCCGUGUUAAUUCAGAUUGAAUCCCGUGUCAAUUCAGAUUGAAUCCCGUGUCAAUCUUGUGUCAGUCCCGUGUCAAUCCCGUGUCAAUCCAGAUUCAAUAUUGUGUCAAUCCCGUGUUAAUCCAGAUUCAGUCCCGUGUCAAUCCCUUGUUAAUCCCAUGUCAAUCCAGAUUCCACCGUGAGUCAAUCCCAUGUCAAUCCCGUGUAAAUCCUGUGUCAAUCCAGAUUCCACCCCGUCUCAAUCCCAUGUCAAUCCCAUGUUAAUCCAGAUUCAGUCCCGUGUCAAUCCGGGUUCCACAGCAUGUCAAUCCCGUGUCAAUCCCGUGUCAAUCCCAUGUUAAUCCAGAUUCCAUCCUGUGUCAAUCCCAUGUCAAUCCCAUGUUAAUCCCAUGUUAAUCCAUAUUUAAUCCUGUGUCAAUCCCAUGUUAAUCCAGUUUCCACCCCUGUCUAUCCAGAUUCCACCCUGUGUCAAUCCCCUGUUAAUCCAGAUUAAAUCCCGUGUCAGUCCCAUGUUAAUCCAGAUUCCACCUGUGCUGAUCCCGUGCCAAUCCCAUGUUAAUCCAGUGUCAAUCCAGAUUCAAUCCUGUGUCAAUCCAGAUUCCACCCCGUGUCAAUCGCAUGUUAAUCCAGAUUAAAUCCCGUGUCAGUCCCAUGUUAAUCCAGAUUCCACCCCGUGCUAAUCCCGUGCCAAUCCUAUGAUAAUCCCGUGCCAAUCCCAUGUUAAUCCCGUGCCAAUCCUGUGUUAAUCCCGUGCCAAUCCCGUGUUAAUCCCGUGUUAAUCCCGUGUCUGUCCCGUGCCACCCCCCAGGACCACCCCCCGUGGGACCACCCCCUCAUUAACCUCGGGCAUUAAUCACCCCUCCCCUAAUCACCCCCUCGCCCACAAUUAACGCCGUGUGCCUAAUUAAUUAAUUACCGCCCCUCCCCCCCCCCCCCCCAAUUAAUUACCCACGAGCGGCCGGUUACGCGCGAAUAGUUAAUUAGGUCCGAGACCCCCCCCCCCGGUUAAUUAAUUGGCGGUAAUUAAUUAGGAGCAAUUAAUUAAUUAGGAGUAAAUAACGAAUUAAU